rnacentral:rRNA from 1 species
AGAGUUUGAUUCUGGCUCAGAACGAACGCUGGCGGCGCGUCUUAAACAUGCAAGUCGAACGAUCUGUAGCAAUACAGGGAGUGGCGGACGGGUGAGGAACACGUAGGAAUCUACCUCAGAGAGCGGGACAACCUUGGGAAACCGGGGCUAAUACCGCAUAGUACAGAGAUGUUAAAGGGCUAGCAAUAGUCGCUUUGAGAUGAGCCUGCGGUCUAUCAGCUAGUUGGUGAGGUAAUGGCUCACCAAGGCAACGACGGAUAGCCGGUCUGAGAGGAUGAUCGGCCACACUGGCACUGAGACACGGGCCAGACUCCUACGGGAGGCAGCAGUUAAGAAUCUUGCGCAAUGGACGAAAGUCUGACGCAGCGACGCCGCGUGAAGGAUGAAGGCUUUCGGGUUGUAAACUUCGGUAGACUGGGAAGAAGAAAUACGUUCGUUGAGGGCGUAUAGUGACGGUACCAGUCUGAAGCCCCGGCUAAUUACGUGCCAGCAGCCGCGGUAAUACGUAUGGGGCAAGCGUUGUUCGGAAUUAUUGGGCGUAAAGGGCUCGCAGGUGGUUUGUUAAGUUGGUGGUUUAAUCUCUGGGCUCAACCCAGAGUCAGCCAUCAAAACUGGCGAACUUGAGUACGAUAGGGGAUAGCGGAAUUCUCGGUGUAGCGGUGGAAUGCGUAGAUAUCGAGAGGAACACCAAUGGCGAAGGCAGCUAUCUGGAUCGUAACUGACACUCAUGAGCGAAAGUGCGGGGAGCAAACAGGAUUAGAUACCCUGGUAGUCCGCACCGUAAACGUUGUAUACUAGUUGUUGGUGGUUUCAACGCCAUCAGUGACGUCGCUAACGCAUUAAGUAUACCGCCUGGGGAGUAUGCUCGCAAGGGUGAAACUCAAAGAAAUUGACGGGGGCCCGCACAAGCGGUGGAGCAUGUGGUUUAAUU